AGCGUGGCGGCUGUUCAGAGAGCGUUCAGCCUGGAUAACCCUUUCGGUUUUCUUAACUACGUAGCUGAGUCCCUUUGUAGAGAAAUGCUGGAUCCAAGAACGGCAGCUCCUGUCUUUGGUUGAAAGCAUAGAGGCUCUGGUUGGGAGUGUUUGCGGAGGAGCUGGCUUUAAAAGAUACUUCAUUCUGCCUGAAAAAACUCAAGGUGCUUGCACACCUGCCUGGGAACCGAUGACCUGGAGAAAAGGAAUCAC